rnacentral:tRNA from 1 species
GCGGAGUUGCCGGAGCGGUCAAACGGGACAGACUCAAGAUCUGUUGGCUUAGUGCCUACGAAGGUUCGAAUCCUUUACUCCGCA